rnacentral:rRNA from 1 species
AGAGUUUGAUCAUGGCUCAGGAUGAACGCUAGCGGCGGCCUAAUACAUGCAAGCCGAACGGCAAGUCUGAUAGCAAUAUUAGACCUAGAGUGGCGUAAGGGUGCGUAACACGUAUGCAAUCUGCCCGCAACAGGAGGAUAGCUCCCCGAAAGGGGAAUUAACCCUCCAUAGGAUCACACGAAGGCAUCUGAGAGUGAUUAAACCAAAAGGGGUUGCGGAUGAGCAUGCGGUUGAUUAGCUAGUUGGCGGGGUAACGGCCCACCAAGGCGAUGAUCAAUAGGGGAACUGAGAGGUUUAUCCCCCACACUGGCACUGAGAUACGGGCCAGACUCCUACGGGAGGCAGCAGUAGGGAAUAUUGGACAAUGGGCGAGAGCCUGAUCCAGCCAUGCCGCGUGCAGGAAGAAGGCCUUCUGGGUUGUAAACUGCUUUUGCCAGGGGAUAAAAGACCCGUGCGCGGGGAAUUGAAGGUACCUGGUGAAUAAGCCACGGCUAACUACGUGCCAGCAGCCGCGGUAAUACGUAGGUGGCAAGCGUUGUCCGGAUUUAUUGGGUUUAAAGGGUGCGUAGGCGGUUCUAUAAGUCAGUGGUGAAAUACGGCAGCUCAACUGUCGAGGUGCCAUUGAUACUGCAGAACUUGAGUACAGACGAGGUAGGCGGAAUUGACGGUAGCGGUGAAAUGCUUAGAUAUCGUCAAGAACACCGAUAGCGAAGGCAGCUUACUAGACUGUAACUGACGCUGAGGCACGAAAGUGUGGGGAUCAAACAGGAUUAGAUACCCUAGUAGUCC